UUACCCUAGCUGUUCCUCUCCUCUCUCUCUCUCUGAUUUUCUCUCUAUUUUUCUCCUUUCUUCUUCCUUGUGUCGUCCCUAGCUGGGUGAUUUUCACCAUUGUUGUACUGCCUUAUUGCUCUAUUACCUGGUUACAAUUCCUCCAUCCUUAUUGCUGGCAUUUUUAAUCACCAAAUAGCCUCUUUUCUUCCCUAAAACCCUCCUUUGAGCCACUUAAAUCAGCCUCUCCUUGCUGCCAUUAGACCUCCAUUUUCUCCCCAUUUUCUCCACUCGUGGUGUACUGGUUGUUUCCUUUUGCUUCUCGAUUCUUGUUCUGUUGCUUGUCAAUUUUUGUUGCUGUUUUUAGAACCAUUUUAUUACUGUUUCCAGCCUCUAAAAUUCAUCCCCUUUGGAUCCAAAAACUAUUUUUGUGCCGCCCCAAAUCAACCACAUUCUUACUGCCGCUUGUGGUGGUGUGCGACCCAUCAGUGUACCACUUAUAGGCUACAAUUUUUCUCUUCUUUUUCCUCCCAUUGCAAUAGUGUUCUACUCAUUUUUCCUUUAUUUAAAACAACCCUUAAAAUUCUUAAUUAAGUCUGUAUAUGAUCCUAUUCAUCUGACAUCUCAGAUCUAGUUAUCGGGUGUAAGCGCAGUUCUAUGCGAGAUCUUGCGUUGUUUUUAUUUCACUUAUAGUUGUUGCCAUGGUCGAAUGCUCUGAGGCCAUAACGUGAUUUUCAGUUACUAAUAUUUAAGUAUUCUUUCAAUCUUAGGUACUUAUUUGAACGUGUCGAAUCAGCAGUAAAGUCGGAUUUCAUUCGUGCCCUUGUUUCGCAUCAAAUCAAUGUAAGUUACCGUGACAAUUUGGAUCUGAAAAUUUGUUGGUGUAACACUGAUUUGGCCAAGCCCUUAGGGGCUAUUUCAAGGCUAUUUUUAAUAGUAUUUUAACUCAUUAAAUGCUAUAAAUUGGUUUUAGACAUGUUUAAGGUUUUAAUGUGGUAGUGCAGACUUUGCGGAUUAGUGCUAGGGACUUGUGAAUUGAGGUGUGGGUCUUUUCCUUUGUUUAAUUAGUCUAAAAUUCGCAUAAAAUAUGUUUAAAUGAAAAAUUUUCUUGCUGGUUAUUGAAUGGCUGAAUGGCCUAAUUGCUAAUAAAAGAGGUGUCGAGCUAGGCACGUACACUAAUUGAAAGCUGAUUGUUAAAGGCCCUGUUGGGACCGAUUGUGAUGUGUAUGAGCUCAGUGUGAUUUAUGCCUUUGUGCUGUAAUUUGUUAAUAGUAUAUUUGGUAUAUCAAAUCUUUGUUUGCUAAGUUCUAUUGAAAAUAUGUGAAUUGUAUGCAUGUAUAGCAUGCUGAAUUUUGAGACACUAAUUGAUGUGCAUGUCAAAUGCCAUGUAUGAUAUUGAGCUUGUAUGUAUUUAUAAUUAUAUACCUUAUGUGAAAAAGGACUGCAUGGAAAGGAUGUAUGCAUGCUACUGUUUCUAUAAAUGAAAAGUAUGCAAGGCAUAUACCGACACUGACUAUUGAUACGCAUGUUAAGCAUGCCAUUGUACUGAGAUUGAAAAUGAUAGCAUGGUUUGCUCACUAAUUGUAUGCCAUUUUGCAAUAUGCAUGGGGUGGGUUAUUGUGGUUUGCGAAGGAGUUUCGUGGAGUAUCGGUAGUAGUUAAGGUUCGCAUUAUUAUUGUUAGUGCACAACAUCGGAAGUACCAAGGAGAUUGACGAUUUUAUUGCAUUAUUGGUAGCUUGUCCUCACUAUUGGCCAUUUAUCUGCAUUACCGAUACUGGUGGCUUGUCCACAGUACUGGUUGCUUGUCUGCAUAUAUAUUGCACUUUAUUUGCACUAAUGUACUGAUGGUUUAUCCACAUCGAGCUUCGGCUCACACUAUUUGGUCUUUGGUAGAUGGGUUCUGGGGAACUUGUGGUAUGUAACGAAUGGUAGGGUAGGAACAUUUGCAUUGCAUCAUUUGCAUCAUACCAUGCUCAUACAUCAUUCGUUAAUUGCUAUGAACUUUUAUUGAUGGCACUUAUUAAUGAACUGCUAAGUUUGAAAUGGUUACUGUAUUGAUGAUUCUAUAAUUUACUGUAAUUGAACCAGUAUCUGUGUAAAUAACUUGUUUGACUCACAUUGACCUUCAUAAGCUCACUCCCCGACAGUGUUUAACUUUUCAGGUAAACCUUGAAACUAGGACCGACCUCGGCAUACAGAGCGUCGCCUCAGACAACAGACUAUUUUUUUAAAUAAGUAUUAUUAAUAUGUCUCUAUUGGUUUUGGUUUAUAAUUUUUAAUGUCUUUGGUUUGUGUCUUGAUUAUUUUUUAUUUGGGGAGUUUUGCAUGCAUGGAUUACUUAAGCAUAAUAAUAGGGAAAUGCAUUAUAUCUGGCUUAAAUAAAAUUUGACAUUAUUCUCCAAUUUUAGCUGCAUUGUAAAUAAAUCAUUUUUGAAAAAAAAAUCGUUAAGGCAACUAGAUUCCUAAAAGGACAUGAAUAAUGGUUUUCUUGUUGCAUUAGUUAACAUCGAGUUUUUACAAAGUAGAGCGACAAACAAAUAAUAUUUCUAAAACAUCAUUUUCAACACUAAAAUGAAUCUUAAGUACAGAUGACCUAAUAAAUGAAUGGUUUUUAAACUAACUCAAAGUACAACCAUAAUUUUUUUAUCUAAAAUGA
rnacentral:lncRNA from 1 species